rnacentral:rRNA from 1 species
GACGAACGCUGGCGGCGUGCUUAACACAUGCAAGUCGAACGGAAAGGCCCUGCUUUUGUGGGGUGCUCGAGUGGCGAACGGGUGAGUAACACGUGAGUAACCUGCCCUUGACUUUGGGAUAACUUCACGAAACUGGGGCUAAUACCGGAUAGCAGCUCCUGCUGCAUGGUGGGGGGUGGAAAGUUUCGGCGGUUGGGGAUGGACUCGCGGCUGAUCAGCUUGUUGGUGGGGGAGUGGCUUACCCAGGCUGUGACGGGUAGCCGGCCUGAGAGGGUGACCGGGGACAUUGGGACUGAGAGAGGGCGCAGACUCGUACGGGAGGCAGCAGUGGGGAAUAUUGUACAAUGGGCGGAAGCCUGAUGCAGCAACGCCGGGUUCGGGAUGACGGCCUUCGGGUUGUAAACCGCUUUAGCCUGUGACGCAGCGGGAGUGACGGUAAUGGGUAAAGAAGCACCGGCUAACUACGUG